UGGAAUUAAUACAGUAUUGUU
rnacentral:piRNA from 1 species